CUUUGUAGUCUUCCACAGCUUUCUUGAACUGCAUCUGUAUAUCCUUCAAAACGAAAAGGCAGAUGUGGGCUCAUGCUUGCGGUUCAAUAAAGCUGUGGGAAAUUACAAAGA
rnacentral:pre_miRNA from 1 species